rnacentral:rRNA from 1 species
UACGUAGGGUGCAAGCGUUGUCCGGAAUUAUUGGGCGUAAAGAGCUCGUAGGCGGUUUGUCGCGUCUGCUGUGAAAAUCCAGGGCUUAACCCUGGACCUGCAGUGGGUACGGGCAGACUGGAGUGCGGUAGGGGAGAUCGGAAUUCCUGGUGUAGCGGUGAAAUGCGCAGAUAUCUGGAGGAAUACCGGUGGCGAAGGCGGCAUCCUGGACCGGCAUUGACGCUGAGGAGCGAAAGCUAGGGGAGCAAACGGG